UGGGGAAUAUUGCACAAUGGGCGCAAGCCUGAUGCAGCCAUGCCGCGUGUAUGAAGAAGGCCUUCGGGUUGUAAAGUACUUUCAGCGGGGAGGAAGGGAGUAAAGUUAAUACCUUUACUCAUUGACGUUACCCGCAGAAGAAGCACCGGCUAACUCCGUGCCAGCAGCCGCGGUAAUACGGAGGGUGCAAGCGUUAAUCGGAAUUACUGGGAGUAAAGCGCACGCAGGCGGUUUGUUAAGUCAGAUGUGAAAUCCCCGGGCUCAACCUGGGAACUGCAUCUGAUACUGGCAAGCUUGAGUCUCGUAGAGGGGGGUAGAAUUCCAGGUGUAGCGGUGAGAUGCGUAGAGAUCUGGAGGAAUACCGGUGGCGAAGGCGGCCCCCUGGACGAAGACUGACGCUCAGGUGCGAAAGCGUGGGGAGCAAACAGG
rnacentral:rRNA from 1 species